GCUGGUGAUUAAGCCGCGUGUGGUCCACCUCUUCCCAUUCCGAACAGAGAAGUGAAAGCGCGCGGCCCCGAUGAUACUUGCGCUCCGGCGCUGGGAAAGUAGGGUUCGCCAGCC
rnacentral:rRNA from 1 species